AGAAAAACCAAAAAAAACAAAUGAAUUAGUGUCUACUAUGUUCUU
rnacentral:sRNA from 1 species